GCCCGAUUGACGCAGUGGUAGCGUGCCGUUCUUAUAAUGCGGAAGCCGUGAGUUCGACCCUCACAUUGGGCA